rnacentral:rRNA from 1 species
CCUACGGGUGGCAGCAGUGAGGAAUAUUGGUCAAUGGACGAGAGUCUGAACCAGCCAAGCAGCGUGAAGGAUGACUGCCCUAUGGGUUGUAAACUUCUUUUAUAUGGGAAUAAAAUGUUCCACGUGUGGGAUUUUGUAUGUACCAUAUGAAUAAGGAUCGGCGAACUCCGUGCCAGCAGCCGCGGUAAUACGGAGGAUCCGAGCGUUAUCCGGAUUUAUUGGGUUUAAAGGGAGCGUAGGUGGAUUGUUAAGUCAGUUGUGAAAGUUUGCGGCUGAACCGUAAAAUUGCAGUUGAAACUGGCAGUCUUGAGUGAAGUAGAGGUGGGCGGAAUGCGUGGUGUAGCGGUGAAAUGUUUAGAGAUCACGAAGAACACCGAUUGCGAAGGCAGUUCACUGGACUGCAACUGACACUGAGGCUCGAAAGUGUGGGUAUCAAACAGGAUUAGAUACCCUUGUAGUC